UAGCAGGGUUAGUCUUUGUGUCGUCAUUUCCGGUAAUGUGGACGUAGCCUUAUAGUUUAUCCAAGGGAUAGGGAUUAGUCAACCAUUGUGCUUUCGUUUAAUUAAAUAAAUCCCAACACAGAAGACAUGAGCGACGCUGAGAAGGAUUUUGUCAAACGAGCGUCCCACUCACCCUCAAGGAGUGUCAGCCCUCAGGGUUCUGUCCACUCUGCUCAGUCUGCCAGUAACUCCCCAGCCCAGUCUCCUGUUCACUCUAAGGAGGGCUCGCAACAGUCCAGAUCCAAGUCUCAGUCUCGCUCUCGCUCAAGAUCAAAAUCUCGGUCAAGGUCACACAGAGGUUCCCGCCGUCGUUAUUCACGGUCACGGUCACACCGCCGGCGGUCACGGAGCCGCUCCUACAGCGCUGAGUACCGCCGGGAGAGGAGCCACAGCCGCUCACCCAUGUCAAACCGGCGGCGCCACAUUGGCAGCAGGGCAAACCCGGACCCUAACUGCUGCCUUGGGGUGUUCGGUCUCAGCCUUUAUACCACGGAGCGGGACCUGAGGGAGGUCUUCUCCAAAUAUGGCCCCCUGGCGGAUGUCACCAUCGUGUACGAUCAGCAGUCCCGGAGGUCGCGCGGCUUUGCUUUUGUCUACUUUGAGAACAGAGAGGAUGCCAAAGAGGCAAAGGAGCGAGCCAAUGGCAUGGAGCUUGACGGCCGGCGCAUACGAGUGGAUUUUUCAAUCACAAAACGGCCGCACACCCCCACACCAGGAAUUUACAUGGGUCGGCCCACAUAUGGAGGUCCCAGCUUUGCCCGGCGCUCCAGAGAUUGCUACGACCGUAACUAUGAAAGAGGCUAUGAACGUGGCUAUGACCGCUAUGAUGACCGCGAGUACUACCGGUCCUACAGACGCAGGUCCCCGUCGCCAUACUACAGAGGGGCAUACAGGUCCCGCUCCCGGUCGCGCUCCUACUCGCCUCGUCAUUACUGAGAGUGCCGUUUCCAUUCCAACCUGGACAUACAAGGGGGACCAGGAUAGGGUGGGAAGGGGUAAAAGUAAAACCUGUAAGGUCAAAGUUUCACUGCCAGGAAGGAAGAAACUGCAAGCUUUGCAUAGGCUAAUGCAGGCUGGACAGCUUUCAGGUGCCAUGUGUUUCAUGGCAUCACCUUGAGGAGAACACUUCGUUGUGCUGGUCCAGCAGAGCAGCUCCUCCUCCAGUGAUGCCUGGGAGCUUCUCACACAGAUGCCUGCUUCAGUGAUUCCAUAGAUGCAUUUCUAAUUGAUUUCCUGCUCAACCAGAAGGAUACGAUUUUCAGGGCCCAACAACAUUUGAGCUCAUACGUUAAUUUUAUAACCUAAUGACUUUUAACAUGUUUCUUUAAUAAAAAUUAAGCUCAAAAACA